AGUGAACGCUGGCGGUAGGCCUAACACAUGCAAGUCGAACGGCAGCACAGUAAGAGCUUGCUCUUACGGGUGGCGAGUGGCGGACGGGUGAGGAAUACAUCGGAAUCUACUUUUUCGUGGGGGAUAACGUAGGGAAACUUACGCUAAUACCGCAUACGACCUACGGGUGAAAGCAGGGGAUCUUCGGACCUUGCGCGAUUGAAUGAGCCGAUGUCGGAUUAGCUAGUUGGCGGGGUAAAGGCCCACCAAGGCGACGAUCCGUAGCUGGUCUGAGAGGAUGAUCAGCAACACUGGAACUGAGACACGGUCCAGACUCCUACGGGAGGCAGCAGUGGGGAAUAUUGGACAAUGGGCGCAAGCCUGAUCCAGACAUACCGCGUGGGUGAAGAAGGCCUUCGGGUUGUAAAGCCCUUUUGUUGGGAAAGAAAAGCAGCAGGUUAAUACCCCGCUGUUCUGACGGUACCCAAAGAAUAAGCACCGGCUAACUUCGUG
rnacentral:rRNA from 1 species